rnacentral:rRNA from 1 species
UAGAGUUUGAUCCUGGCUCAGGACGAACGCUGGCGGCGUGCCUAAUACAUGCAAGUAGAACGCUGAAGAGAGGAGCUUGCUCUUCUUGGAAGAGUUGCGAACGGGUGAGUAACGCGUAGGUAACCUGCCUUGUAGCGGGGGAUAACUAUUGGAAACGAUAGCUAAUACCGCAUAACAAUGGGUGACCCAUGUCAUUCAUUUGAAAGGGGCAAAUGCUCCACUACAAGAUGGACCUGCGUUGUAUUAGCUAGUAGGUGAGGUAACGGCUCACCUAGGCGACGAUACAUAGCCGACCUGAGAGGGUGAUCGGCCACACUGGGACUGAGACACGGCCCAGACUCCUACGGGAGGCAGCAGUAGGGAAUCUUCGGCAAUGGGGGCAACCCUGACCGAGCAACGCCGCGUGAGUGAAGAAGGUUUUCGGAUCGUAAAGCUCUGUUGUAAGUCAAGAACGAGUGUGAGAGUGGAAAGUUCACAUCUGU